UCCCUGGUGAUCCAGUGGCUAGGAUUCGACCCUCCCAAUGCAGGGGGCCCAGGUUCAAUCCCUGGUCAGGGAA
rnacentral:tRNA from 1 species